rnacentral:misc_RNA from 1 species
AAAAGCUGAAGUUUCUGUUGCUAUAUAUUGAUAUACAUAAUAACAUAUGGUGUCUGUAUAUCCAACACCACCGGGUCAAGAUUUUCACUACAUGGGGGAUCCGAUGAAAACGGGUCUUAUGGGUUUGCAUCCGGUGCAGUCGGGUACUAGUAUACAUGGGAAUUUGAAUUUGGAUUCGAAUACAGGUUUGGUGGUGUCUGAUGAUCACAGCAAGAAGACACGGAAGCCUUAUACGAUUACUAAGUCUAGGGAGAGUUGGACUGAGCAGGAGCAUGACAAGUUUCUUGAAGCUCUUCAAUUGUUCGACCGUGAUUGGAAAAAGAUUGAAGCAUUUGUUGGGUCGAAGACUGUUAUCCAGAUACGUAGCCAUGCACAG